AUACGGAGGGUGCAAGCGUUAUCCGGAUUCACUGGGUUUAAAGGGUGCGUAGGUGGAUUGGUGAGUCCGUGGUGAAAUCUCCGAGCUUAACUCGGAAACUGCCGUGGAUACUAUCAGUCUUGAAUUUCCUGGAGGUAAGCGGAAUAUGUCAUGUAGCGGUGAAAUGCUUAGAUAUGACAUAGAACACCAAUUGCGAAGGCAGCUUACUACGGGAAUAUUGACACUGAGGCACGAAAGCGUGGGGAUCAAACAGGAUUAGAUACCCUGGUAGUCCACGCCCUAAACGAUGAUUACUCGACAUACGCGAUACACUGUGUGUGCCUGAGCGAAAGCAUUAAGUAAUCCACCUGGGAAGUACGACCGCAAGGUUGAA
rnacentral:rRNA from 1 species